UGUGAAAAACCCAUCAAGUGGGUGGUCCUGUAUUUCACACGCCUUGGGCACAUCCAGCAGCCCAUUGAAAGCAAGAACUUGCAAGUGGAUUUAAAAAAUGAAAUUCAGGGUGGGCAAAAUGUGUGAAGGGGGUCAAAAGGUACAAACUUCCAGAUACAAUAUAAAUAAGUCCUGGGCAUGUAAUGGACAGCAUAGACAGUGUUGCCAU